GGUAGAGAAUACCAAGGCGCUUGAGAGAACUCAGGAGAAGGAACUCGGCAAAUUGAUACCGUAACUUCGGGAGAAGGUAUGCCCCUGGUACGUGAAGGCCCUCGCGGCCGGAGCGGAACGGGGUCGCAGAGAAUCGGUGGCUGCGACUGUUUAUUAAAAACACAGCACUCUGCAAACACGAAAGUGGACGUAUAGGGUGUGACGCCUGCCCCGGGUGCCGGAAGGUUAAGUGAUGGGGUGCAAGCUCUUGAUCGAAGCCCCGGUAAACGGCGGCCGUAACGAUAACGGUCCUAAGGUAGCGAAAUUCCUUGUCGGGUAAGUUCCGACCUGCACGAAUGGCGUAACGAUGGCCACACUGUCUCCUCCUGAGACUCAGCGAAGUUGAAAUGUUUGUGAAGAUGCAAUCUCCCCGCGGCUAGACGGAAAGACCCCAUGAACCUUUACUGUAGCUUUGCAUUGGACUUUGACGGGACUUGUGUAGGAUAGGUGGGG
rnacentral:rRNA from 1 species